GCCUCAUCCUUGCUUUAACCUGAACACACAGGUGAAAGCCUGCAGCCCCUGCCACAGAGGCUGGACAGGGAGCCGUAGGGCUUGCCCAGAAGUUGCUGGCAUUUAAAUGGGGCAGGGGAGGGGAAGAAAAAAUAAAAAAAUAAAAAAAAAUUUAAAAAAAAGAGGAAAAAAAAAGAAAAGAGGAAAGGAGAAGAGUGGGAAAAGAAAAGCAGCAGGAGAAGGGGGAAAAGCAACUGGGGAUAAGCUGCAGAGAGCGAGGGAGAGGAGCAGCUGCUCGUGUACGCCGGGACUGCACUGUCACCCAGCGGCGCGCCGCCGAACGCCAGCCCCGGCGCGCACAGGUUGUGCUGCCACCGCGCCCACGGUCACUGUCAGCUGGAGAGGAUCGUGUAUAUGCAGUGGGAACGUUAACCCAAGUACCAUACAUUGUGCUGCCCUGUGAACUCUCAUCGUCAGAGAGGGCUGGAGAACAAGUGGGUUUUACCGAUUGAUGCCAAAAUCACUGCAUCUAGACCUGGUGAAGAAAGGACUGAGAUGAAUUCCAGGGAUUAUGAGGCUACAAUGAACAGCUUCUGUCACUGCAUGCUGAGGGAGGAGUACAAAUGCUCCCAGAGGCAGUAGGAAACCUUGCGUGUCCUGUGCAAGCAACACCUCCCACGUUCCCUCCCCUCAGACAUUGGGGCAGCAGCAAGCAAAACUCUUUCUUCUGCUUCUGUUGACUUCAUCCAGCUUGAAAGUUAGCUGCAGCACCCCCACAAAGCUACGGCUAAGAUGGCAAUACAAGAAGAGAGGCGAUUUCUCAAGCUGGUUGAAAUUUCAGCCACCGUCAUUCUCCCACACACUUGAACUCUCUUCUCCACCUCUUUUUUUUUUUUUUUUUUCUCGUUCCUCUCUCAAGCACCGUGACAAGCAAGCUCUUUGUUUUUAGGACUUCAAUUACUCCCUCACAGCACUUGAACUGCUAAGCCCUCCCACAAAAUCAGGAUAAUGAAUAAUGUUCAUCGUCUGCUUCGGUGUAUGUUUCCCCCCCCCUCAGGCUUGCAACACGACUGGAGAGGCACAAGCACUGACAGCUGAACAAAUCCCACACUGCCUCAGAGGACAAGCACAGCAGCGUACCCUGGCAGCCUUCUCAAAUGCUGCAGCCUGCUUUUCCAUGCCCGGGGGUCUUUCUCUUUCUGGAGGACCCACCCCCACUUCAGAAGCAAGGCAGCAAAGGAGCCCUGAGGUGCAGGGAUGCCCAACAUAGCAAAAGGAGAUGCUGCCCUCUUUGGUCCUCCCC
rnacentral:lncRNA from 1 species